ensembl:lncRNA
UCUGGAACCUCAGAAUCUCCAGGGAAACUGAAAGUUCAUUACAGUUUCCUUGUGUGCCCAACUAUGGUUUUCCUGUAGUUGUGUGGACCAUCAGUAAUCCACUGGGUGUUCAGUUCCUCAGAUGCUGCAGUGCAUGAAGACUCUUAUGUUCACUCUUGCCACCAACAGGACAUCUGGUGGGUUUUAUUUUUUGUUCAGACAUUAGUUAGCAGCUGCAGGAAGUAAAUAAACCUGGAAGACAGAGGCAGCUACUCGGUCUGAUGGUUCACCUGGACAGUGAUGGGGCAGGGCUACACAAAGCUGGACCCCUAUUGGUCAAGAAUUACCAAACACAGACACGGAUUUGCACCAGAUGGGACCGUUAAGGGCUUUAUAGGAGGGAAAGGUUUUAAAUUCUGCUCUGAAACCGAUCAACCCUCACAUUACAAAGCUAUUCAUUUCACCUCAAUAUGUUCACUAUUUUAUGUGGAAGCAGAAAAGCUCUACAUGAGAAAUAAGUAGACUGGAUCUGAUGCAAAGCUAUACUUUAUUUGAAAGAGGAGAUACAAGGAGUCGGACCAAGGACCUCUGCAGUUGUGGAUGGACUGGUCCAGAUGUGUAAUGGAAGUGCUGGUUGUGGAACUGUCAGCAUCAAUCAUCUGAGACCUCACCACUGCUGUCAGACAGCUCGUCAUCCCCAGAAGAGUCGUAAUCCCCAGACGCCUCAUCCCCAGAAGCAUCAUCAUCCAUGAGUUCUGGAUCAGAAGCCUCCAUGUCAUCCAUCCCUCUCCCCAGUCUGGGUUCUAAAGGUGAAAAGGUGUCAUCAUCCUCAGAGUCAUAAUCAUCAUCCUCAGAAUCAUCAUCAUCAUCAUCAUCCUCCUCAUGUUCCUCCAUGUCCUCUGGGUCAUCAGAUGCCUCCAGGUCAUCCAUCCCUCGCCACAGUCUGGGUUCAAAAGGUAACAAGGCAUUCAUCUCGGCAUCAAACAUGUUGGCUGUUGCAGAAUCCUCAUCGUAGUAAUCAUCUCCAGAAGAACCAUCAUCGUAUGCCUCAUCCCCAGAAGCAUCAUUAUCCAUGAAUUCUAGAUCAGAUGCCUCCAUCCCUCUCCCCAGUCUGGGUCCUACAGGUGGCAAGGUGUUCAGCAUUUCUUCAGUUGUGUUUGAAGCUGCAAUUGUGGCAUUAGACUGGGCAUCAGUGAUGUUGGCCAUUGUGGAAUCCUCAUAGUCGGCAUCAUCGGAAUAGUCAUCCUCACCAUCGUACUCCUCUUCAUCGUACUCUUCAUUCUCAGAAUCAUCAGACACCUCCAUGUCAUCCAUCCCUCUCCCCAGUCUGGGUCCUACAGGUGAAAAGGUGUCAUCAUCCUCAGAGUCAUCAUCAUCCUCAGAGUCAUCAUCAUCCUCAGAAUCAUCAUCAUCCUCAUGUUCCUCCAUGUCCUCUGAGUCAUCAGAUGCCUCCAGGUCAUCCAUCCCUCGCCACAGUCUGGGUUCAAAAGGUAACAAGGCAUUCAUCUCAGCAUCAAACAUGUUGGCUGUUGCAGAAUCCUCAUCGUAGUAAUCAUCUCCAGAAGAAUCAUCAUCGUACGCCUCAUCCCCAGAAGCAUCAUUAUCCAUGAAUUCGAGAUCAGACACCUCUAUGUCAUCCAUCCCUCUCCCCAGUCUGGGUCCUACAGGUGAAAAAGUGUCGUCAUCCUCCUCAGAGUCACCAGACGUCUCCAUGUCAGCCAACCCUCUCCCCAGUCUGGGUUUUACAGGCAUCGAGGAGUUCAGUGUUUCUUCAGCUUCCACCGUCAGUGUUGUGGUUGGAGCUGCUAUUGUGGAGUUUGUCUGGGUAUCAGUCAUGUUGGCCGUUGUGUUGUUGGUGUCAGACUCCUCAUCAUCUGACUGCUCUUCAUCCAACUCGUCAUCUGAAUCCUCCUCAUAACCAUCCAACUCUUCAUCAUCCUCAUCAGAAGGGCCAUCAUCUGAUGCAUCCAGGUAUUCUGAGGAAUUGUCCACCAUCUGUGUGAUUACAUUUGACAGGUGCAUUAGCAGAGUUUCCUUCAACAUGUGGAGGUUCUGCUCCUCCCAUCAUUUCAGUUUCCCCUCUCACCUGUCGGGGUUCCACAUUGUGCCAAUGACGAGGAUUCACCCCCCAGUCCCACUGGUCCUGGUGUUGCAGAGCUCUGCGCCGACGAUCCCGCCCAUCUCCUCUGGCUGCACCGAAACAAGCCGCCAGCAUCGUGGACAUCUCCCCAGCCGAAUCCAAAUAGAUCACUUCAAACAUGGAGUCCUGCACAACAUUCAGCCAUUAGUUCUCCACCCAACUAUGACAAACUGGAUGGUGGAUCACUCCAUCCUUACCUUGUCUGCCGGUGUGGAGAUCUGCACCAACACUGGCCCUGGAGUAGUGGUGGUCUGCACCCUCCCAACCACCACAUCUUUCCCCAGAGCCUUCACCUUCUGCAGUCUGCUUCCCUGAGGCAGUUUCACAGCCACUUCUGUGCUCCUGCAGCUCACCGCCGGCAGGGUCCACAUUGCAGGAUCCUCACAGGCGACCACAGCCGUCAUGUUCUCCCGCAGCAGGUGGUCGAAGUAACGCAGCUUCAACUGGUGGAACCACGUUCCAUUUGAAACCUGUGGAACAGACCAAGUCAUCACCAGUUAACAGUUUGUCAUUAGCUGGAGAACAUCCAGGAGUUC